rnacentral:rRNA from 1 species
UGAGCAAUCUGCCCUUCUCUUCGGAAUAAGCGUUGGAAACGACGUCUAAUGCCGAAUACGACCUCCUUUCGCAUGAUCGGAGGUGGAAAGCUCCGGCGGAGAAGGAUGAGCUCGCGGCCUAUCAGCUAGUUGGUGUGGGUAACGGCCUACCAAGGCGACGACGGGUAGCCGGCCUGAGAGGGUGACCGGCCACACUGGGACUGAGACACGGCCCAGACCUCCGUACGGGAGGCAGCGAGGG